CCUCUUUGACAUUAGAGGGAAUUAAGGACUGUGUUUUGUACAUCCUGAAACUCUAUGAAAAGAUUGAUCCAGAAAAGCUUUUGGUGAAUUCCUAUUUUAUGAAAGACCUGGGCUUAGACCGUUUAGACCAAGUGGAGAUGAUCAUGGCCAUGGAGGACAAAUUUGGGUUUGAAAUUCCUGAUAUAGAUGCAGAAAAGUUAAUGUGUCCACAAUAAAUUGUUGAUUACAUUAUAGAUAAGAAGGAUGUAUAUGAAUAAAAUAUCAGACUCCUUUUCCUCACCGAGAGAAGAUUCAUAUGAUACUG
rnacentral:lncRNA from 1 species